UAUUGCUCUUGUUUUGGUCCUGU
rnacentral:miRNA from 1 species